rnacentral:rRNA from 1 species
CAUUGGAACUCCGCAGUUAAGUGGGCUUGGUCUAGAGUAGUACUGGGAUGGGUAACCUCCCAGGAAUUCCUAGUGUUGCACCCU